AACAAGGCGUACCUGCGGACCUGCGGAGGGAUCAUUACAAGUGACCCCGGUCUAACCACCGGGAUGUUCAUAACCCUUUGUUGUCCGACUCUGUUGCCUCCGGGGCGACCCUGCCUUCGGGCGGGGGCUCCGGGUGGACACUUCAAACUCUUGCGUAACUUUGCAGUCUGAGUAAACUUAAUUAAUAAAUUAAAACUUUUAACAACGGAUCU
rnacentral:misc_RNA from 1 species